GGAGGGAGUGGAAAGUCAUCCACUUCUAAUUGGUUUCCACUCUUGAGCAAGAGAGAAUGGGAAAUGCCAGUCUACCCCACGUGGUUAAUUCUGCAACCUGACUAGCAAUUGCUUCAUACUAAACGGGAACAAGUUUUCUUUAAUUAACAUUAAUUUCCAUUGGGAUGCCGCCACAGAGAGCUCAUUCCAGAUCCCUCAUCUCUGUGCAGAGGACCAGGAACCACAUCUGUGCUGUUCUGUGGGACUAAAGAGCCCUUGCACUUUGCAUAGGGCUCGCACACCCCUUCUUGAGGAGGCUGGCACGGGAGUUAAGGGCUGCACCAAUCAGUUCUUCACUGAACUUUAGGCUCCCGGCUGUUCCAAGUCUUUCUGACAACUUGGCAGCACCCUCUAAAACCUUCCCAGGCUGCCAGACCCUUCUCUUUGGAUCCGAUUCGGUGCUUUGAGUGCCCUCGCACACUGUCCGUGUAGAUGUGGAGGAAUACAGCUGUGUCAGGUGAAAUUUAGCAGGCUAAAACGGCAUUUGGACGCUCGAUGGAAAUAUUUCCCUUUGAAUCAUCGCAAAGCAAGAGCAGGAAGAAAUAUCACAAAAUGAAAGAAGAGUGAAGAUGAAAUCUCCGACUUGAAAAAAUACUUCCACAAAGCAGCUUGAAUAUUUCCAAGGCAAAUGCAAAGCUCUGGGUCAUCUUACAGCCCAGAGGAUGAAGUAGGAAGGAUUGUGCUGCAAGUAUAAAUUCCCCUAAGUGAGCUGCACAGAAGACUGCCACAUCUUCAUUUGCAGGGGUCUGCUGUUUGCCUGCUUCUAAGGAGUGAACCUCCUUCUCACCGCCAAGGUAUUUCUGGCCGAUCAUGGAUUCCUGGACUGGACAUUAUACAUACUGAAUAUGAAUAAAAGAAAUGGUCUUCCACUGCACUGCAGUAUAGCAACAGGAUAGUGCAAAGGGGAAGUCUCAUGGCCUACACUACCAUCCUG
ensembl:lncRNA